rnacentral:rRNA from 1 species
UUGCGGCGUGCCUAAUACAUGCAAGUCGAACGAGUUCUGAUUAUUGAAAGGUGCUUGCAUCUUGAUUUUAAUUUUGAACGAGUGGCGGACGGGUGAGUAACACGUGGGUAACCUGCCCUUAAGUGGGGGAUAACAUUUGGAAACAGAUGCUAAUACCGCAUAAAUCCAAGAACCGCAUGGUUCUUGGCUGAAAGAUGGCGUAAGCUAUCGCUUUUGGAUGGACCCGCGGCGUAUUAGCUAGUUGGUGAGGUAACGGCUCACCAAGGCAAUGAUACGUAGCCGAACUGAGAGGUUGAUCGGCCACAUUGGGACUGAGACACGGCCCAAACUCCUACGGGAGGCAGCAGUAGGGAAUCUUCCACAAUGGACGCAAGUCUGAUGGAGCAACGCCGCGUGAGUGAAGAAGGCUUUCGGGUCGUAAAACUCUGUUGUUGGAGAAGAAUGGUCGGCAGAGUAACUGUUGUCGGCGUGACGGUAUCCAACCAGAAAGCCACGGCUAACUACGUGCCAGCAGCCGCGGUAAUACGUAGGUGGCAAGCGUUAUCCGGAUUUAUUGGGCGUAAAGCGAGCGCAGGCGGUUUUUUAAGUCUGAUGUGAAAGCCCUCGGCUUAACCGAGGAAGUGCAUCGGAAACUGGGAAACUUGAGUGCAGAAGAGGACAGUGGAACUCCAUGUGUAGCGGUGAAAUGCGUAGAUAUAUGGAAGAACACCAGUGGCGAAGGCGGCUGUCUGGUCUGUAACUGACGCUGAGGCUCGAAAGCAUGGGUGGCGAACAGGAUUAGAUACCCUGGUAGUCCAUGCCGUAAACGAUGAAUGCUAGGUGUUGGAGGGUUUCCGCCCUUCAGUGCCGCAGCUAACGCAUUAAGCAUUCCGCCUGGGGAGUACGACCGCAAGGUUGAAACUCAAAGGAAUUGACGGGGGCCCGCACAAGCGGUGGAGCACGUGGUUUAAUUCGAAGCAACGCGAAGAACCUUACCAGGUCUUGACAUCUUUUGAUCACCUGAGAGAUCAGGUUUCCCCUUCGGGGGCAAAAUGACAGGUGGUGCAUGGUUGUCGUCAGCUCGUGUCGUGAGAUGUUGGGUUAAGUCCCGCAACGAGCGCAACCCUUAUGACUAGUUGCCAGCAUUUAGUUGGGCACUCUAGUAAGACUGCCGGUGACAAACCGGAGGAAGGUGGGGAUGACGUCAAAUCAUCAUGCCCCUUAUGACCUGGGCUACACACGUGCUACAAUGGAUGGUACAACGAGUUGCGAGACCGCGAGGUCAAGCUAAUCUCUUAAAGCCAUUCUCAGUUCGGACUGUAGGCUGCAACUCGCCUACACGAAGUCGGAAUCGCUAGUAAUCGCGGAUCAGCACGCCGCGGUGAAUACGUUCCCGGGCCUUGUACACACCGCCCGUCACACCAUGAGAGUUUGUAACACCCGAAGCCGGUGGCGUAACCCUUUUAGGGAGCGAGCCGUCUAAGGUGGGACAAAUGAUUAGGG